GAGAGGAUUUAAGUGAUGAUAUAUUUACAACAGUGCAUAGUUCAACUGAUUGUAUUCAAAAUGAAGAUACCAAAAACAUCGAAUUUAGUCUUUCGCUCCUAUCUGAUUCCUCUA
rnacentral:snoRNA from 1 species